AGGAAGGUAGUGUAGUUAACACCUGCAUUAUUUGACGUUACCUACAGAAGAAGCACCGGCUAACUCCGUGCCAGCAGCCGCGGUAAUACGGAGGGUGCGAGCGUUAAUCGGAAUUACUGGGCGUAAAGCGCAUGCAGGCGGCCUGUUAAGUCAGAUGUGAAAGACCCGGGGCGUUAACCUCGGAAUUGCAUUUGUAAACUAGGCAGGCUAGAGUCUUGUAGAGGGGGGUAGGAAGUUUCAGGUGUAGCGGUGAAAUAGCGUAGAGAUCUGAAGGAAUACCAGUGGCGAAGGCGGCCCCCUCGGACAAAGACUGACGCUCAGAUGCGAAAGCGUGGGGAGCAAACAGGAUUAGAUACCCUGGUAG
rnacentral:rRNA from 1 species